rnacentral:rRNA from 1 species
AAAGUGGAGCAAUCCAUGAGUAAAGUGGCGCACGGGUGAGUAACACGUGAAUGAUCUACCUCCGAGUGGGGAAUAACCUAGAGAAAUCUGGGCUAAUACCGCAUAACACUUACGAGUCAAAGCAGCAAUGCGCUUGGAGAGGAGUUCGCGGCCGAUUAGCUAGUUGGCGGGGUAAUGGCCCACCAAGGCGAUGAUCGGUAUCCGGCCUGAGAGGGCGCACGGACACACUGGAACUGAAACACGGUCCAGACUCCUACGGGAGGCAGCAGUGGGGAAUUUUGCGCAAUGGGGGAAACCCUGACGCAGCAACGCCGCGUGGAGGAUGAAAUCCCUUGGGAUGUAAACUCCUUUCGAUAGGGAAGAUAAUGACGGUACCUAUAGAAGAAGCCCCGGCUAACUUCGUGCCAGCAGCCGCGGUAAUACGAGGGGGGCAAGCGUUGUUCGGAAUUAUUGGGCGUAAAGGGUGCGUAGGCGGUUUGACAAGUCUUAUGUGAAAUCUAUGGGCUCAACCCAUAGUCUGCAUGGGAAACUGUCGGGCUUGAGUAUGGGAGAGGUGAAGUGGAAUUUCCGGUGUAGCGGUGAAAUGCGUAGAUAUCGGAAGGAACACCUGUGGCGAAAGCGGCUCACUGGACCAUUACUGACGCUGAUGCACGAAAGCUAGGGGAGCAAACAGGAUUAGAUACCCUGGUAGUCCUAGCCCUAAACGAUGAUUGCUUGAUGUGGCAGGUACCCAAUCCUGCCGUGUCGAAGCUAACGCGAUAAGCAAUCCGCCUGGGGAGUACGGUCGCAAGGCUGAAACUC